rnacentral:rRNA from 1 species
GUUUUUUUGAAAAUAAUUUAAAGUUUAAUUUGCCCCCUGAAUAAUUUUAAAGGGCUGCAGUAUAUUGACUGUACAAAGGUAGCAUAAUCAAUAGUCUUUUAAUUGAAGACUUGUAUGAAUGAUUUGAUGAGAUAUAAACUGUCUCUUUAUUAAUAAUAGAAUUUAAUUUUUUAGUUAAAAAGCUAAAAUUUUUAUAAAAGACGAGAAGACCCUAUAGAGUUUUAUAUUUUAAUUUAUAAAAAUUUUAUAUAAAAGUUUGAAUUUUUAUAAAUUAAAAUAUUUUGUUGGGGUGAUAGAAAAAUUUAAAAAACUUUUUUUAAAAAAUUAACAUUAAUUAAUGAAAUUUUGAUCCAUAAUUUAUGAUUAAAAGAUUAAAUUACCUUAGGGAUAACAGCGUAAUUUUUUUUUUUAGUUCAUAUAAGAAAAAAAGUUUGCGACCUCGAUGUUGGAUUAAGAUAAAAUUUAAAUGCAAAAGUU